rfam:Gossypium hirsutum cultivar TM-1 unplaced genomic scaffold scaffold5483.1, whole genome shotgun sequence
UCCCUGGCGGUCCAGUGGUUAGGACUCCGCGCUCUCACUGCUGAGGGCCCGGGUUCAAUCCCUGGUCGGGGAA